rnacentral:rRNA from 1 species
UACGAAGGGGGCUAGCGUUGCUCGGAAUCACUGGGCGUAAAGCGCACGUAGGCGGAUUGCUAAGUCAGGGGUGAAAUCCUGGAGCUCAACUCCAGAACUGCCUUUGAUACUGGCGAUCUCGAGUCCGGGAGAGGUGAGUGGAACUGCGAGUGUAGAGGUGAAAUUCGUAGAUAUUCGCAAGAACACCAGUGGCGAAGGCGGCUCACUGGCCCGGUACUGACGCUGAGGUGCGAAAGCGUGGGGAACAAACAGG